UCCGGGUGGACGGUGUUAUCCUCUCCGCUCACAGCUGAAGUGUGUCGGCUGUGUGAUCGGGAAAGACUUUCGUCUCUUCCGUCGGGAUCACUGUCUGCGGGCCGAAGAUAUCACUUUCCCAUCGAUAGACCUGCGGUGCGAGGUUUAUUGGAAGAAAAACCGCAACUGGAAGCAAACCACGACUGAAGACGAGGGAACAGCAACAAGUGAACCAGCCCGAGGACUGAGAGCAUCAACUGGAGAGAACCCAUCUGACUCGGAGAUUCAGUCAGGAGAAAGUUUGGACUGAUUUGUACUUCCUGAAAUGGACCUGAUUUAACCUGGAAAUGGAAAUGACUCGUCCUGUGAUAGGACAUCAGUAAAGAAAGCACAGCUUUUCCCUGUCAAUUAUCUGUUAGACCUGUGGUGAGAGAUUUAUUGGAAGAAAAACCGCAACUGGAAGCAAACCACGACUGAGGACGUGGGAACAGCAACAAGUGAACCAGCCCGAGGACUGAGAGCAUCAACUGGAGAGAACCCAUUUGACUCGAAGAUUCCAGUGAUUCAGUCAGGAGAAAGUUUGGUUAAAACUGAGAAGGAAUUCGUCUCCAGGAAGCUCAAACACGGCACACCUGUUUUGUUGUCUCUGUCUAGAUAUUUAAAAAGUGGAGCAAGGGAUCCAAUUGACCAUCCUUCCUGCUCAGACUGUGGGGAGGGAUUCACUCGGUCAUUUGACCAACUGUCACACCUGUAAUUUACACAGGAGAAAGGCCUUUCACCUGCUCAGACAGUGGGAAUGGAUUCACUCAGUUAUCACAAUUGAAGUUAGAUCAGCAGGUUCACACACUGGACAAGGCCAUUCACCUGUUCUGUGUGUGAGAAGGGGUUCAGUCGGUCUUCCCACCUGUGAAAACACCAAUCAGUUCACACCACACCGGGCAGAGGCUGGUCAUCUGCUGAAUUUCUGGGAAAGGAUUCACUCGGUCGUCUGACCUAAUGGCUCACCAGUGGGUUCACACUGGGGAGAAGCCGUUCACCUGCUCAGUCUGUGGGAAAGGAUUCACUCAGUCAUCUACCCUACUGGUACAUCAGCGAGUUCACUCUGGGGAGAAGCCUUUCACCUGCUCAGUCUGUGGAAAGGGAUUCACUCAGUCAUCCAACCUACAGAGACAUCAGCGAGUUCAUACUGGGGAGAAGCCAUUCACCUGCU